GACGAACGCUGGCGGCGUGCUUAACACAUGCAAGUCGAACGGAAAGGCCUGCUUUCCCUUGUGGAUUGCGGGUACUCGAGUGGCGAACGGGUGAGUAACACGUGAGUGAUCUGCCCCCAACUUGGGUAUAAGCCUGGGAAACUGGGUCUAAUUCCCGAUAGGACUGCAGGGUGGUGCCUGUGGUGGAAAACGAUUUUCUAGUGGUUGGGGAUGAGCUCGCGGCCUAUCAGCUUGUUGGUGGGGUAAUGGCCUACCAAGGCGGCGACGGGUAGCCGGCCUGAGAGGGUGGACGGCCACAUUGGGACUGGGAUACGGCCCAGACUCCUACGGGAGGCAGCAGUGGGGAAUAGUGCACAAUGGGCGGAAGCCUGAUGCAGCGACGCCGCGUGGGGGAUGACGGCCUUCGGGUGGUAAACUCCUUUCGACCGCGAGGAAGCCACCUGGUUGGAAGGGUGGUGACGGUAGUGGUAGAAGAAGCACCGGCUAACUACGUG
rnacentral:rRNA from 1 species